rnacentral:rRNA from 1 species
GAAGACUGGUUGGGCCGGCGGGGGUCAAAGAAGAGGAGAAGAGAGAGGCGCGACGGCAGGGCUGGGGCAGAAGACGAGGAGGCGAAGUGCGCCGCGGCCGGCGGCCGGCCAGAGGAGGUUUAGGCAUGCGGCUCGCCCGGGAGGGAGGGAAAGCUGGAGGAGGGGACGGCGUCUGUGACGGGGGCACCAUUCACCUUUCGGGAUUAGGACGAGAGAGGGCGGACUAAGGAACCGUGGUGGAGGCUAAGGUAUGUUAACAGCGCACCCACGACGACUAACCUCGAGCACUCUACGAAACUCCAGCCCGACCUCUGCCGAGAAUUAAGGCUUAAGAAUCCACAAAGGGCGACGAAAGCACGACCGACCCAACACUCGACACCCCCCUUCCAUCCGGCCGGCCGGAUUCGAAUCAAUAACUGCGAUGCUCGAUCGUUUUUAGACAUGAACGGCGAAGGAAACGGAACUUAAUAGAGGGCAGGGCGACAACAGGACGACAUGAACAAAUGAAAACCUUAAUGAACACGAUGAUAUUCCCUUCUAGGGCACGGAUGUCUAUUAAACUGAGACUUUUUCACUGCCGAGACCGGAGCCUCGCUAGACUGUGGAUUUCCUAUGUCCGCGGGUAUAAUGGGACGAAGUUGAUUUCCCUGUUGUUUCGCUAAACAACAGGGCAACAAAACUCGACCUUUUGGGAGCCAUACCGACUACGAUCAAGCUCCUGACUGUGUAGGUAUCAACACCUGUGACUGCUAUUCUUAGUUUCCUACCUUUUGCCUGUUUUACCUCGAUAGCACGGAAGAUUAAGUAGACUUGGCAGACUGUCCAGGCUGUCCGGAUACCUGGUUUUCCACCAUAACGCCUCCGAACGGGUUUUAGCGCUCCGUCGUGCUUUUUCAGCAGACUCCUUUUUCCGCAUACAUGUUGUUGAACUCUCGUCAUUCGAUUUUGAACGUUCGGACCUUGUUCUUGAGGUCUUUCGAGCUGUCGUUCCUUAGAAGUAAAGAUCGAGACCCCUAGUUUGAGUACGAUACUCACCUUUACCUCGCUACUGUAAACUAAAUCUUAUAUGAGCUACCGAUCUCCUCGUUUUAUUCGUCUAUUUACUCGACUCCUGACGUCAUUUACGAGUACGUUCACUAUCACUGGAGGCAGAAUAACAUCUACCUUAUUACCGUGUAAUACUGCUUUAUAAGUUCGACUUCCCGCGACGACGUUUCCGACUACACAAAGUAUAUGAAAGUCCGUACACCUUUUGUGGACGACUUUCCACAAAAAACACCGAACCCCCCAAAGCAAGCAGACUCGAAAAUUUCGAGGAACAUUUAGUCGAGCUCGGAGAUUGUCUCGUCGUCAACUACCCCAAUAGGUCGGAGCUCGUUAGGAGUGUGGUCCGGCUCCUACGUGAUAGUGUUCCUUACCUCCGUAACGUCGUUAGAAACCGACUUUGCAACCGACCAAGGGAACCAGGUAGUCCUAGAAGUCCUUUGCACCGUUUGAUGUACCCAGUUUACCGAUACCGAUACCCUUUUGAACCUUGGGAACUCUUAAAGGAAGCGGUCCGACUGUUAGAUGCCGUUGUUUGAAACGUAGUUUACGUUUCUUAAGACUGUUAUGCCGUUCGACGAGCUCGAGAGGAACGUUAUGUACUGAUAAAGAGUGCAAACGCACGGGACUCAAGAGAGACCGAGCGCUCCGGUGCCCUCAUUUGGUAUACGCGGUAGAAAACCGUGAAGUACUCGACUAGGAUCUUUACACCUGUUUAACGCUGCGUAAACGUCUUCUAACCACCAAGUCAAGGGAGACUUUUUAUAUAUAACUGUGGAACACAAGAGUAUAACAUGAAGCUACAACAUGUUCAUCGGUCCAUCCCCAUUCCGAACAUUGACAUUCAAGGGUACUUAAAUACUAACUGUAUAACAUGUUAACAUAAUCGUUAUUUAUUUGCAUCUAUUUUCCACGUUCUCCUAGGUAACUAACGUGGACAACCUUCGUUCUUCGC